CAGCAGCCACGGGAAUACGUAGGGUGCAAGCGUUAAUCGGAAUUACUGGGCGUAAAGCGUGCGCAGGCGGUUAUAUAAGACAGAUGUGAAAUCCCCGGGCUCAACCUGGGAACUGCAUUUGUGACUGUAUAGCUAGAGUACGGCAGAGGGGGAUGGAAUUCCGCGUGUAGCAGUGAAAUGCGUAGAUAUGCGGAGGAACACCGAUGGCGAAGGCAAUCCCCUGGGCCUGUACUGACGCUGAGGUACGAAAGCAUGGGGAGCAAACAGGAUUAGAUACCCCAGUAGUCCCUGUCUCUUAUCA
rnacentral:rRNA from 1 species